rnacentral:rRNA from 1 species
AGUGAACGCUGGCGGUAGGCCUAACACAUGCAAGUCGAACGGCAGCACAGUAAGAGCUUGCUCUUACGGGUGGCGAGUGGCGGACGGGUGAGGAAUACAUCGGAAUCUACUUUUUCGUGGGGGAUAACGUAGGGAAACUUACGCUAAUACCGCAUACGACCUACGGGUGAAAGCAGGGGAUCUUCGGACCUUGCGCGAUUGAAUGAGCCGAUGUCGGAUUAGCUAGUUGGCGGGGUAAAGGCCCACCAAGGCAACGAUCCGUAGCUGGUCUGAGAGGAUGAUCAGCCACACUGGAACUGAGACACGGUCCAGACUCCUACGGGAGGCAGCAGUGGGGAAUAUUGGACAAUGGGCGAAAGCCUGAUCCCGCCAUACCGCGUGGGUGAAGAAGGCCUUCGGGUUGUAAAGCCCUUUUGUUGGGAAAGAAAAGCAGCAGGUUAAUACCCCGCUGUUCUGACGGUACCCAAAGAAUAAGCACCGGCUAACUUCGUG